rfam:Rhodopirellula sp. SWK7 cSWK70117, whole genome shotgun sequence.
AAAGUCUCUUACAGCAAAAGGAGUAGCAACCCAUGCUGACCUCGAGUCAUGCGUGUGCACGGGCAACUGUGCAGGCGAAGCGUUGACAGGGGCACGUGCGGGCCAGGUAUUGAGCCGCGAAAGUAAAAAUUGACUUCGGGGGGCCCACGGCGUCGUGUGUUCGGAAGGCAACAUGGAACCGUUCGCUAUUUGCGAGAGCAGUUCCACCCCCGCGUGGUCCUAGACCC